CAUGAAAUGAAAAUGAGGUUUGGAACAGACUUGGCGAAGAACAUGGAAACAUCUCUGAAUGAAAUGGCCCCAAACAUCAUCAGGAGUGCAAAAGAAGGAAGUCAAAAAAAAAAAAAAAAAACUACGCCAAUCUCAUUGGACUAGCAGAGGAAACCACAGAAGGUCUCGUUAGUAAUGCUGCACUCAUUUUAUUGCCAGCACUAUUUAGAGAAAACGCCAGCUUCCUCUACUGUGUAGAUAGUGAACCCAAAGGUGCUACACCAACCAUAGUGUUUAACGGCUCUCCUGAUCCCCUCAAGGCUGAAAGUGUCAGCAUUAUAAUGGACAAUGUGAACAUCAUAAGAGAGGCAGACAUUGACAUGACACAGGCUGUGGAAUGCCUAUUUGCAGUCUA